AUGCAAGUCGAACGGUAACAGGAAGCAGCUUGCUGCUUUGCUGAUGACUGGCGGACGGGUGAGUAAUGUCUGGGAAACUGCCUGAUGGAGGGGGAUAACUACUGGAAACGGUAGCUAAUACCGCAUAACGUCUCACGACCAAAGAGGGGGACCUUCGGGCCUCUUGCCAUCGGAUGUGCCCAGAUGGGAUUAGCUAGUAGGUGGGGUAACGGCUCACCUAGGCGACGAUCCCUAGCUGGUCUGAGAGGAUGACCAGCCACACUGGAACUGAAACACGGUCCAGACUCCUACGGGAGGCAGCAGUGGGGAAUAUUGCACAAUGGGCGCAAGCCUGAUGCACCCAUGCCGCGUGUAUGAAGAAGGCCUUCGGGUUGUAAAGUACUUUCAGCGGGGAGGAAGGAGUUAAGGUUAAUAACCUUAGCGAUUGACGUUACCCGCAGAAAAAGCACCGGCUAACUCCGUGCCAUCAGCCGCGGUAAUACGGAGGGUGCAAGCGUUAAUCGGAAUUACUGGGCGUAAAGCGCACGCAGGCGGUCUGUCAAGUCGGAUGUGAAAUCCCCGGGCUCAACCUGGGAACUGCAUUCUAAACUGGCAGGCUAAAUUCUUGUAGAGAGGGGUAGAAUUCCAGGUGUAGCGGUGAAAUGCGUACAGAUCUGGAGGAAUACCGGUGGCGAAGGCGGCCCCCUGGACAAAGACUGACGCUCAGGUGCGAAAGCGUGGGGAGCAAACAGAUUAGAUACCCUGGUAGUCCACGCCGUAAACGAUGUCGACUUGCAGGUUGUGCCCUUGAGGCGUGGCUUCCGGAGCUAACGCGUUAAGUCGACCGCUUGGGGAGUACGGCCGCAAGGUUAAAACUCAAAUGAAUUGACG
rnacentral:rRNA from 1 species